UACGUAGGGGCCUAGCGUUGUCCGGAUUUAUUGGGCGUAAAGCGUGCGCAGGCGGUUCGCUAAGACAGAUGUGAAAUCCCCGGGCUUAACCUGGGAACUGCAUUUGUGACUGGCGGGCUAGAGUAUGGCAGAGGGGGGUAGAAUUCCACGUGUAGCAGUGAAAUGCGUAGAGAUGUGGAGGAAUACCGAUGGCGAAGGCAGCCCCCUGGGCCAAUACUGACGCUCAUGCACGAAAGCGCGGGGAGCAAACAGG
rnacentral:rRNA from 1 species